rnacentral:tRNA from 2 species
GGGGAGUUAGCUCAGCUGGAAGAGCAUCACGUUGACAUCGUGGAGGUCGCUGGUUCAAGUCCAGUACUUCCCACCA